UGAACGCUGGCGGUAGGCCUAACACAUGCAAGUCGAACGGCAGCACAGUAAGAGCUUGCUCUUACGGGUGGCGAGUGGCGGACGGGUGAGGAAUACAUCGGAAUCUACUUUUUCGUGGGGGAUAACGUAGGGAAACUUACGCUAAUACCGCAUACGACCUACGGGUGAAAGCAGGGGAUCUUCGGACCUUGCGCGAUUGAAUGAGCCGAUGUCGGAUUAGCUAGUUGGCGGGGUAAAGGCCCACCAAGGCGACGAUCCGUAGCUGGUCUGAGAGGAUGAUCAGCCACACUGGAACUGAGACACGGUCCAGACUCCUACGGGAGGCAGCAGUGGGGAAUAUUGGACAAUGGGCGCAAGCCUGAUCCAGCCAUACCGCGUGGGUGAAGAAGGCCUUCGGGUUGUAAAGCCUUUUUGUUGGGAAAGAAAAGCAGCAGGUUAAUACCCCGCUGUUCUGACGGUACCCAAAGAAUAAGCACCGGCUAACUUCGUG
rnacentral:rRNA from 1 species